rnacentral:rRNA from 1 species
CGACUGACAGUAUUUGGACGACGAAUGAGAAUCUGAUAGUCUCAAAUCAUAAAGUUCUAACUAGACAAUUGAUAAUGACAAUGUGUAUAUUAGUCUCGACAAAUUACGUGCCAGCAGUCGCGGCAAUACGUAAGAGACGAGUGUUAUUCAUUUUUAAUAGGUUUAAAGGGUACUUAGACGGAAAGAUUCGCCUUAAAUAAAGGGACAAUAUUUCUAGAGUUUUUUGGAGGGAAGUCGUACUUGUGAGUGUAGAGAUUAUAUUCAGUCAUACCUAGGGGACUGGUAAAGGUGUAGACAGCUUCUUAUCUAAUAACUGACGUUGAAGGACGAAGGCACAGAGCACGAACAGGAUUAGGCACCCCAGUAGUCUUUGCAGAGAAUGAUGAAUGCUAUAGAUUGGAUUAUGAAAUUUUGGUCUAUAAAUGAAAAUGUAAGCAUUGUCACCUCAAGAGUAAUGUGGCAACGCAGGAACUGAAAUCACUAGGCCCGUCUCUAACACCAGCAGUGAAGUAUGUUUAUUUAUGCAAAUUCCCCCCC